AACAACUAGGACAAGAGGCAAUGGACAGAAGCUGAUGCACAGCAAGUUCCACCUGAAUAUGAGGAACAACUUCUUUACUGUGCAAGUGAUCACACACUGGAACAGGUUGCUCAGAGAGGUUGUGGAGUCUCCCUCACUGCAGAUAUUCAAAAACCAUCUGGACUCAAUCCUGUGCCAUGUGCUCUGGUAUGACCUUGCUUGAGCAGGAAGGUUGGACCAGAUGACCCGUUGUUGUUCCUUCCAACCUCACUCAGUGAUUCUCCAACAGGAGCUGCUUUUGGAACACAGGAAGAAAUGCUAACAACUUGGAAAAUUUCUGGCAGUAACCUGUGAAUUAGCUCCUACCUGCAACAUGGAGAUAAUCACAUCCUUCUCACCAUUAAGAUUAAAGACUUGUGAGAGA